CUGAAGGGCCAAGCUCUGCUGGAUGUCACGGAGCAUCUCUCAGCGCUUGUGGCAUGGGUUUAUCCCAGGAGCCCCGAAGUCGUCCAGCGCUACGCCCUGCCCGUGCUCUGGUCCUUCCUGGGGAACAAGGCGCUGCCUGUCCGAAGCGCCAAUGUCCGCACUGUGGUCACCAAGCUUGCCUGCGCCCUCUACAAGGUGAUGGGCGCCAAGCUGAGGAAGCAUGCUGCCAGCCAGCCUCCGCAUGUGCGGGAAAACCUCUCCGACAUUUUGGGCUGGUGAAGGCUCGAUGACCUGCAGAGAGAUGACAAAGUGCUGAGUUGGACACCUCCGGACGUGACUUCUUAGCUGUGCCAAAAAGGACAGAAUGCAAAGGAAGGGUGUGCACCUGCCCCCGCUCUCUCCACCCCCCUUCCUAGUUGUGGCAUGGGGUGCCUGAAGCAACUUCCAAUUGAGGACAAGGUGAAGGCUGAGCAUGGCUCAGCCUCACAAAGAGGCGUAACUGGCUACAAUCUUAUCAAGAAGUUUUCCUUGGACGUUUCCUAUGUUCCCUAACCGACAAAGCCCUUGCCUCCCAUCCAGAAGAGCUCUCUUUCCUCGAGCUCAGGAAGAAGGUGCUGCCUGUCUGAAGAAUGUUUGAAGAUUUGGAUUUAUACGUUAGGCUUUGUAGUUACAGAUGUACAUAUGUUCUGACAUGUAGAUGUAGGUUUGAAUAAAUGUGUUAUCAUUUUAUCUUUUAAAUUUUGAAAAUAGAUUUUCAA